rnacentral:rRNA from 1 species
UAACUUAGUGGCGGACGGGUGAGUAAUGCGUGAGCAACCUGCCCUUCAGAGGGGGACAACAGUUGGAAACGACUGCUAAUACCGCAUAAUGUAUUCGGAAGGCAUCUUCUGAAUACCAAAGGAGAAAUCCGCUGAGGGAUGGGCUCACGUCUGAUUAGUUAGUUGGUGAGGUAACGGCUCACCAAGACUGCGAUCAGUAGCCGGACUGAGAGGUUGAACGGCCACAUUGGGACUGAGAUACGGCCCAGACUCCUACGGGAGGCAGCAGUGGGGAAUAUUGGGCAAUGGGCGAAAGCCUGACCCAGCAACGCCGCGUGAAGGAAGAAGGCCUUCGGGUUGUAAACUUCUUUUAAGAGGGACGAAGAAGUGACGGUACCUCUUGAAUAAGCCACGGCUAACUACGUGCCAGCAGCCGCGGUAAUACGUAGGUGGCGAGCGUUAUCCGGAUUUACUGGGUGUAAAGGGCGCGUAGGCGGGAAUGCAAGUCAGAUGUGAAAUCCAGGGGCUUAACCCUUGAACUGCAUUUGAAACUGUAUUUCUUGAGUGUCGGAGAGGUUGACGGAAUUCCUAGUGUAGCGGUGAAAUGCGUAGAUAUUAGGAGGAACACCAGUGGCGAAGGCGGUCAACUGGACGAUAACUGACGCUGAGGCGCGAA